AGCCCUUGCUCCACAGCCGCUGCGAGAUGCUGCGCUCCACGUCCACUGUCACCCUGUUCUCAGGUGGCGGCGCCAAGUCGCCUGGAACGCCCAGUAGAAGGGUAAGUAGCUAGCUGGAGAAGGAGCUGCUGGGGAUCUCUCGCACCCAUCCCUGUCGCCCCAUCUGUAGGGAUGUGGGGAGAAGGAUGCUUCUGGCUGUCGAUACCUCAGUCUUGGCUCAAGUUUCCUGGCCAGUCCGGGACUCCACAGUGACCCUCCCUCUGGAUGCUCCCGAGGCGGGAAGAGAGGGCUUAGGGGACUUUCUGGGAUACCUAGAACUUACUUCUCCUUCGCGUCUCCACUGUCAAGCCAAGCUUAAAUGUGGCAUCAGUUUAAAAAAGGCAGGGGAGAGGUUUCUGAGGUCUCUGCCCUGAAUAUACUUGAAACGUGAACUUUUCUGCAUCUCUUGGUUGGGAGCAUCAUCCAUAUGUCCAUCCACCAGUGACAGACAGCCUCUGAUCCAGGAGCCAGCUUUGCCAAGGUGGUUGCCUGUUUGCAGACCAGAGCUGAGCAGCUGACCACCUCGGAGUCUAGCUGUGCAGGACUCUAGUUUACGCAGGAACUUCUUUUUUUAAGCCCUGACCAUCACCUCCAGGGAGAUUUCCCUAAAGAAAUGUGUUUAGCCACAGUCUUUGCUGAAUCAGUUCUUACCUCCCAGAUGCUCCUGAAAGAAUGGCCAGGCUUGUCAGGUUGACAUUCUAUGCCCCUUCGAAGAUCAGGGCCUCAGAGAAGUCUGCUAGGAGCUUGGCUUGUAGCUUUCUGAGUCUUCUGGUAUCACGUUAUUAAAUACCUACCUCUUCACUAAUCACGUAUCUCCACCGUUCAUUCUAACAGGUUAAAUCCCACUCCAAAAGCCCCUUCCCAAGUCCGGUUAGUUUGAUUUGACCUUUAGUGUUUAUCUUUUCUCCAUUUAUAGACGAAAGGCAUGUGUUGCUUUUGGGUGAGGGCCAAGUGGUGGUGGUGGUGGUGGUGGUGUGUGUGUGUGUGUAUUUAUGUUUGUGUGUAUAUGUUAGACACCUAAGGCUCAUAGAACUCUGGUUGCUUGGUCAUUAACUUAAUAAAGUGGCUUCCCAUUUGGUUAGUGAGUUUCCAACCAUGGGCUUACCCUAUUGCAAGAUGGGCAUUUGACUCUUUCCCAUGGAAGGCUUUGUUUAAUCAGAACAAAAUUUAGGUUGACAAAGAAUAAAAUCAUUACAAAGUUAGCCCUGAGCUGUGUGCAGCAGCCCCUACCCACAGGGAGACUCUGAUUUAGGUUGAUGCUGGGAUCCUGUGAGUGAAUUAGGUAUAGCCAGUAGACUCAGUAGCAUCUUUGAGAUUUUUCUCUUGAAUGAUGUCUGGACAUACUGGAAUGCUUUGUCUUUUGGCUAAGACUGCAUCGAAACUUUGGUCUGAAGAACUCAGGCUUCCGAAUUCAGACUAUGUAGGACUGAUUGGAACAUUCUAGAACUUCUGUGGACAAAAUCUUUUUAAAGGCUCCUGUGUGUGUGUGUGUGUGUGUGUGUGUGUGUGUGUGUGUGUUGAUUGACUAACUGACUCACUGAAUAUUUAUAGAUCUAUUUCUGUGUGCCCCAGGGCUGGGCACUCAGUUCCAUUCUGCUCUUGGAGGCAGAUAUUAUCACAAAUGAGUUUGUAGAGCGAGCAGAGUAUUUCCAGGGUUCAGUGACCCUAAAAGAAAGGUUCUUUCUGAGGUGUGUAGGGCAAGCCUCUCCCUGCAGGUGAACUGCUACUUAGUCUCCCAGCAGGGUCAGGAGUUACAAAGGCAAUCGACAAGGUAAAAAGAGAACUAUCAUUUAUCUCAGUGGAUACUUGACAUAGGCUGUAUGACGAUGUGUGUCAGACUUGCUUUGGGACAAAACACUAAGAGUUUUUAAGAUAAUUAAAAAAAACUUUUGAAGCACAAGAAAAUAUAUACAGUAAAUACAUAGCCAUGAAAACUGUUUCUGAAAUUGAAAAAUUUUCAAGAAAUCCGGCCUUCUCUCACUCCCUCUGUGAUGCUGGCAAGGAGAUGAUCUCAAACUGGAAUACUUUGGGUGUGCUCAACCUGUGGUUUCCUCCAGCCAAGGGUAGCUAUGGACCUAGUCCAGCACAGAAUCGUACAUGUUCUUAAAACACUAUGAGAUGCUUUAGUUUGUUUUGUGACUCAACGGCGUGGCUCUUGAGUGUGAACUUCGUAAAGGACAGCACCAUGUCUCAAAGUCAAAAGGUCUGCUAGUUAUUAAAAUAGAUCAGUUUUAUCCGCAGGGCUUAUCAAAGCAGGGCAGGAGUUGCCCUGAGUCAGCUGCAAGGGCAGUGUCCAACCAGGCUGUCACAGGUCACCCUUUGUUCAGAGACAGCCACCUGCAAAUGGGCUUACUUCCCUUUCGUCUGAAACUGUCUCAACGGGGAGGAGGCAGCCUGUUAGGGUUCAGGGUGGGGGGGUGGUUUCUGUUAACCCAUAAACAAAACUCUGAGAGUCAUUCAUACACAGCAACCAGU
rnacentral:lncRNA from 1 species